GGGGUCGCAGAUCGCGUCGGUGCCCCUCGGGGCUUCAAAGGGAAUGCGGUGCGGGAGGCGAGCCUCCUCAUGCCGCGGCUGUCCCUGCAACUGUAAGCGGUGAGCGCGGUGCGCAUGUUCCUUCGUUAUGAGGGGACGACCACUAGGCCUGAGCGUAAGCGCAGGGCCCGGGAAGGUCGCGUACCGGGCGUCGACCCGCGAGCCAGGAGACCUGCCGGCGCUCGGUCGCUCUUG
rnacentral:ncRNA from 16 species